rnacentral:rRNA from 1 species
GAUGAACGCUAGCGGCAGGCCUAAUACAUGCAAGUCAAGGGGAUAGCAAUAUCACCGGCGGACGGGUGCGUAACGCGUACACAACGUGCCCAAGGGCGGAGGAAAGCGGCGGGAAACUGCCGGUAAUACUCCAUGGUGUUGUUGAGUGGCAUCACUUAACAACUAAAGUACAAGCGCCCUUGGAUCGGUGUGCGUUCGAUUAGCUAGUUGGCGGGGUAACGGCCCACCAAGGCUCCGAUCGAUAGGGGGUGUGAGAGCAUGACCCCCCACACGGGUACUGAGACACGGACCCGACUCCUACGGGAGGCAGCAGUAAGGAAUAUUGGACAAUGGGCGAAAGCCUGAUCCAGCCAUGCCGCGUGAAGGACGAAGGCGCUCAGCGUUGUAAACUUCUUUUGGAUGGGAACAAUAACUCCGACUUGUCGGAACUUGAGGGUACCAUCAGAAUAAGCACCGGCUAACUCCGUG